AGGGUUUGAUCAUGGCUCAGGACGAACGCUGGCGGCAUGCCUAACACAUGCAAGUCGAACGAGAAAGUUCCUUCGGGAGCAAUUAAAGUGGCGCACGGGUGAGUAACGCGUAGACAAUCUGCCCUUCAGUCUGGGACAACUUUUCGAAAGGAGAGCUAAUACCGGAUAACAAUGCAUGACACAAGUUGUAUAUUUGAAAGCUUUAUGUGCUGAAGGAGGGGUCUGCGUCCCAUUAGCUAGUUGGUAGGGUAAAGGCUUACCAAGGCAACGAUGGGUAGCGGGUUUGAGAGGACGACCCGCCACACUGGAACUGAGACACGGUCCAGACUCCUACGGGAGGCAGCAGUGGGGAAUAUUGCACAAUGGAGGAAACUCUGAUGCAGCAAUGUCGCGUGAGUGAAGAAGGCCCUUGGGUCGUAAAGCUCUUUUAUGGGGGAAGAUGAUGACGGUACCCCAAGAAUAAGCACCGGCUAACUAUGUGCCAGCAGCCGCGGUAAUACAUAGGGUGCGAGCGUUGUUCGGAAUUACUGGGCGUAAAGGGCGCGCAGGCGGAAUAGUAAGUCGGAGGUGAAAGCCCGGGGCUCAACCCCGGAGGGUCUUUCGAAACUACUAAUCUAGAGAGGGUCAGGGGCCGGCAGAAUUCCUGGUGUAGAGGUGAAAUUCGUAGAUAUCAGGAGGAAUACCGGUGGCGAAGGC
rnacentral:rRNA from 1 species